GCCCUCAUCGUCUAGAGGCCCAGGACGGAGCCCUCUCAAGGCUCAAACCGGGGUUCGAAUCCCCGUGGGGGCACCA
rnacentral:tRNA from 1 species